rnacentral:rRNA from 1 species
CCUGGUUGAUCCUGCCAGUGGUCAUAUGCUUGUCUCAAAGAUUAAGACAUGUCUAAGUAUGAACUAAUUUAGACUGUGAAACUGCGGAUGGCUCAUUAAAUCAAUUAAAGUUUUUUUUAUGGUACCAUACUACUCAGAUAACCGUAGUAAUUAUAGAGCUAAUACAUUCACCAAGUCCCAACUCUUUGGAAGGGAUGCAUUUUUUAGAUAAAAGGUAGGCAUAGGCUUGCCCGCUUCUGUUGUGAAUCAUGAUAACUCAACGGAUUGGAUAGCCCUUGUGCUGGCGAUGAUUCAAUCAAAUUUCUACCCUAUCAACUUUCGAUGGUAGGAUAGAGGCCUACCAUGGUGGUGAUGGGUGAUGGAGAAUUAGGGUUCAAUUCUGGAGAGGGAGCCUGAGAAACGGCUACCACAUCCAAGGAAGAUAGCAGGUGCGCAAAUUACCCAAUCCUGACAUGGGGAGGUAGUGACAAUAAAUAACAAUACUAGGCUCAUCGAGUCUAGUAAUUGGAAUGAGUACAAUCUAAAUCCCUUAAUGAGGAUUCAUUGGACGGCAAGUCUGGUGCCAGCAGCCGCGGUAAUUCCAUCUCCAAUAGCUUAUAUUUAAUUUGUUACGGUUAAAAAGCUCAUAGUUGGAUCCUAGGUCAUAAAGGUCGGUCCGCCUACUCGGUGUGCACCUGCCCUUCUGUCCCUUUUGUUGGUGGCCUGCUCUUGGCCCUAAUUGGCUGGGUCGUGGCUUCAGACCUAUUACUUUGAAAAAAUUAGAGUGCUCAAAGCGAGCUUAUGCUCUGAAUACGUUAGCAUGGAAUAACACGGUAGGAGUCUAGUCCUAUUGUGUUGGCCUUCAGGAAUGGAGUAAUGAUUAAUAGGGACUGUUGAGGGCAUUCGUAUUUCAUUGUUAGAGGUGAAAUUCUUGGAUUUAUGAAAGACGGACCACUGCGAAAGCAUAUGCCAAGGAUGUUUUCAUUAAUCAAGAAUGAAAUUUGGGGGCUUGAAGAUGAUCAGAUACUGUCCUAGUCUCAACCAUAAACGAUGUCGACCAGGGAUCAGUGGAUGUUGCUCUAAGGAAUAUGCUAGCACCUUCUAAGAAAUCGGAGUGUUUGGGUUCCGGGGGGGGUAUGGUCGCAAGGCUGAAAAAUUAAAGGAAUUGAUGGAAGGGCACCACUAGGAGUGGAGGCUGCAACUUAAUUGACUCAAAACGAGGAAAGUUACAAGGUAUAGACAUAAUAAGGAUUGACAUAUUGAGAGCUCCUUCUUGAUUCUAUGGAUGGUGGUGCAUGGCCGAGCGAUUUGACUAGUUAAUUCCGAUAACGAACGAGACCUUAGCCUGCUGACUAGCUAUGUGGAGGUUCCCCUUUGUGGCCAGCUUCUUAGAGGGACUAUGGCCAUUUAGGCCAUGGAAGUUUGAGGCAAUAAUAGGUCUGUGAUGCCCUUAUAUGUUCUAGGCUACAUGCAUGCUACACUGAUGCAAACAACGAGUUUUUCUUCCUAGUUCGAGAGGAUCGGGAAAUCUUCUCAAAUUUCAUCGUGAUGGGGAUAGACCAUUGCAAUUAUUGGUCUUCAAUGAGGAAUUCCUAAUAAGCACGUGUCAUCAACUCGUGUUGACUACGUCCCUACCCUUUGUACACACUGCUCGUCGAUCCUACCAAUGGAAUGAUUUGGUGAAGUGUUCAGAUUGCGUCGACGAUGGGGGUUCACCGCUGUUGAUGUCGUGAGAAGUUCAUUGAACCUUAUCAUUUAGAGGAAGGAGAAGUCGUAACAAGGUUACUGUAGGUGAACCUGUGGUAG